GUACAUAUAAAUAGACACCUGUCAGGGGGCCAACUCCAUUUUCUUAGAAAAUUUGAAAUUUUCAAAACACAGAGCCGAGAGAGGGAAAACUGAAAGAAGACGAGUAAGCGACCGGAGAGAUGAAGAAAAGCGGCGGAAGUGGAAGCGGAAGUCGAACCCGGAGAUGCUUAACCGCGAACUUUCUGGAAGCGCGGUUACAAUUUCCAGUGGUUUCUUCCCCUGCAAACCAACCGUCACCGAAAUCGCCAAUUUUCAAUACCAGCAGCAGGCGCAAGAGGGAGGCCUUCGCUGCCGGAGGAGGAGCCUCAGCCUCUGUUGUGGCGGCGCUCAUGGAAUCCCCCAAAAGUAACGCUUUAGCUUCGAUUCCUGAUCUCAAGCACCUCGCCUCCUCUCGUCUCCGCGAUAUCAAGCUCCACGUCGACAGAUCCCACUCUGAGUUGGUGGAUUAGUGUCUGUUUGGUUGCUGAGAAAAUACCUGAGAAAACAGAAAUUUGAAUUUUCGCCAAAUCCAGAGCCAGGCAUGCCAACAAGUGUUGGAUGAAGCAGAUAAGGAAUACAAGAAGAUGACCCAAAGGAUUACUGAAAGUCGGGAAGCAAUGGCGGCUUCAUAUGCAGAGUUCAUGGCAGAUGCACAGACCACCGCUUCUCGUGCUUGCAAAACAUCAAUUGCUGAGCUUUCGCAGUCCUUUGAGAAACAAAUUGAUGCUCUUCGCAGCCGUUAUGGCAUUUCAACAAAUUAGCAAUCAAUUGUCCUUGCAAUAUGAUCUACUGAAAACCUUAGGCAUGUAUAGUGGUGACGAUAGCAAUCGAGACUCUGACAAAUCUUGAACAAGAACGACUGAUUGGAUCAAAAGGGAUUUGAAACCAUAGCUUGUUGCGGUUUCAUUACUAAACAGAAAACUGCAUUUUCAAAGUAUUUUUGUGGUUACAUGAUGAAACACAGUCAUUGGGUUGUGCAUGAGUGGUUGAAUGUUACGCUAGUAAAUAAUUUAGACCAGUGCUUAGCUUUGUGCCUAAUGUGUCUAUUGAGUUAAGCCCUAAAUAAUUAAUUAGUUCACAAA